rnacentral:rRNA from 1 species
CCGGUUGAUCCUGCCGGACCCGACUGCUAUUUGGGUGAGGAUAAGCCAUGCGAGUUGAAUGGGAUACCUAAAGUUCCCAUGGCAGACUGCUCAGUAACACAUGAUCAACUUACCCUAUAGAGAAAAAUAACCUCGGGAAACUGAGGAUAAUGUUUCAUAGUUGAAUUGGCUUGGAAAAGUUUUUCGACGAAAGGGGUAAAAAAAAUGGUUUUUAUCUGCUAUAGGAUAGGAUCGUGUUCGAUUAUGGUUGUUGGUGAGGUAAUGGCUCACCAAGCCGAUAAUCGAUAGGGGCCGUGAGAGCGGGAGCCCCGAGAUGGGUACUGAGACAACGACCCAGGCCUUACGAGGCGCAGCAGGCGCGAAACCUCCGCAAUACACGAAAGUGUGACGGGGUUACCCAAAGUGUUCAAUUUUGAACUGUGGUAGGUGAGUAAUGUUCCCUACUAGAAAGGAGAGGGCAAGGCUGGUGCCAGCCGCCGCGGUAAAACCAGCUCUUCAAGUGGUCGGGAUAAUUAUUGGGCUUAAAGUGUCCGUAGCCGGUUUAGUAAGUUCCUGGUAAAAUCGGGUAGCUUAACUAUCUAUAUGCUAGGAAUACUACUAUACUAGAGGGCGGGAGAGGUCUGAGGUACUACAGGGGUAGGGGUGAAAUCUUAUAAUCCUUGUUGGACCACCAGUGGCGAAGGCGUCAGACUGGAACGCGCCUGACGGUGAGGGACGAAAGCCAGGGGAGCGAACCGGAUUAGAUACCCGGGUAGUCCUGGCCGUAAACGAUGCAUACUAGGUGAUGGCACGGCCAUGAGCCGUGUCAGUGCCGUAGGGAAACCGUUAAGUGUGCCGCCUGGGAAGUACGGUCGCAAGGCUAAAACUUAAAGGGAUUGGCGGGGGAGCACCACAAGGGGUGAAGCCUGCGGUUCAAUUGGACCCAACGCCGGAAAACUUACCAGGGGAGACAGCAGUAUGACGGUCAGGUUGACGACCUUACCUAACGAGCUGAGAGGAGGUGCAUGGCCGUCGCCAGUUCGUGCCGUGAGGUAUCCUGUUAAGUCAGGCAACGAACGAGAUCCGCACCUUUAUUUGCCACCAAGAAGUCACGACUUCGUUGGGAACACUAAAGGGACCGCCGUCGAUAAGACGGAGGAAGGAGCGGGCAAAGGCAGGUCAGUAUGCCCCGAAACCCCUGGGCUACACGCGGGCUGCAAUGGUAUGAACAAUGGGCUGUGACUCCG